rnacentral:tRNA from 5 species
GCGGCUGUAGCUCAGAGGGAGAGCACCACCUUGACACGGUGGGGGUCACAGGUUCGAUUCCUGUCAGCCGCACCA